GAUGAACGCUGGCGGCGUGCCUAAUACAUGCAAGUCGAGCGAACUGAUUAGAAGCUUGCUUCUAUGACGUUAGCGGCGGACGGGUGAGUAACACGUGGGCAACCUGCCUGUAAGACUGGGAUAACUUCGGGAAACCGAAGCUAAUACCGGAUAGGAUCUUCUCCUUCAUGGGAGAUGAUUGAAAGAUGGUUUCGGCUAUCACUUACAGAUGGGCCCGCGGUGCAUUAGCUAGUUGGUGGGGUAACGGCUCACCAAGGCAACGAUGCAUAGCCGACCUUGGUGGGUGAUCGGCCACACUGGGACUGAGACACGCCCCAGACGCCUACGGGAGGCAGCAGUAGGGGAUCUUCCGCAAUGGACGAAAGUCUGACGGAGCAACGCCGCGUGAGUGAUGAAGGCUUUCGGGUCGUAAAACUCUGUUGUUAGGGAAGAACAAGUACGAGAGUAACUGCUCGUACCUUGACGGUACCUAACCAGAAGCCACGGCUAACUACGUGCCAGCCGCCGCAGUAAGAC
rnacentral:rRNA from 1 species